GUGGAUGUCUACAGCAACACUGCUCUCCACUAUGCUGUCCUAUAAUGAGAGUACAUUCCUGGUAGAAAAACUAUUUUCCCAUGAUACGGAUAUUGAAGUGCUGAACAAUGAUGGAAACACACCACUUUUACUUGCUGCAGUUUGCAAAAGACAGCAAAUGCUGGAAUUUUUAGUGAAGAAACAAGCAAAUGCACAUGCUGUUGAUAGGUUGAGAGGAACAGCCUUCACGCCUGCUGUACAUUAUGGCUCGUUAGGUAUAGUUGGCAUUCUUCAACAAAAUAUUACUGUCUUUAUUCAAGAUAUGUAUGGACAGACAGCAAACAAUUAUGCUAUUUGUGGUGUUUUGACUAGCAUUCAACAACAAAUUUUGCAACAUAAAAAAAAAGAUACUUGAAAAUGGUCUUCAAAAUGACAAUCCAGAAGCAUCAAAGAAUGCAAGUUUGAGAGAAGGAGGAGCAAGUGCAGAAGAUUCAGGGAGUUCUGACAAAUCUGCAUUCAGCAUUUUCAAACAACUGUGUGUUGAUUCAUGCCGUAAACUAGAUGAUGAAGACUUGACUUUUACUACCAAGCAGUAUAUCCCUGAGACUGCUUCAGAGUCUUUACUUGAACCUUCAUAUAAAAAAGAAAAAAAAUAUGGUAAAAGUAGAAGUGUCUCCUGUAAAACAUCUUUCCUUGAAGCCUACCACCGAAAUGGAAGAGUCUGUUGUGAAGAAUGCAGUAAAAAGAAAGGACGUAUAAACAUCCAGAGCAGAACAAGACUUAGAAGUGACUUCAAAGGAAGAACAAGAAAGGCCUGAGAAAAGUGAAAAUAAAUAACCACAGGUUGAAGGAGGAAGAAGCACAAAAGUAAAAAAAAAUAUAUAUAUAUAUAUACAAGUAUCAGAAAACCUAUAUAAUAGUACAUCUGCUGACGAUGAUGAUGGAUCAAUGCAACAAAAUCAAGGUGCGAAAACUUACCAUCAGCAAUUUCCCAGGAAAGAGAAAGACGAGUAUGACAGGCCUGCGAAGAAAGCGUCAAAAGAAAAAGGUCAAAAAGCGAACACAUUUAAGGAUGGCCUUGAUGACUUAAUUUGGCCAUCUGAACAAUACAAAAUUCUCUGAGAGAACUUCUUGUCUCAUGGAGUUUACUUUUUAGGGUAUUGAAUUUAAUUCCAGCUUUAGAAAGUUGUUCAGUAACUUAUUGUUAUCUUUUGCCUCAAAAAAAAGUGUGCCAAAGGACCUAAGCCAAACACAGCAUCAGAUAAAGGAAAGCAAGACUAUGUAGACGAGUGGAUAUCUCAACUACAACAUGAAAAUCUGUAGCUUGAACAGCAACUAGAUGGUGCUCAUAAGAAAGGGGAUAAUGAACAAAUAGUAAUUAAUAUCCAAGGCUGCUGUUUCGAGAGUGAAAAAGAAGGUCUGCUAGAAGAGAAAAAUAAAGAAUUAAUCAAUGAAUGCCAUCAUUUAAAAGACUGUUUCAGUAUAAAAAACAGAAAUCAGAAGGCGAAGUAAGUAUCAAGAAAAAUAAAUAUUUUC
rnacentral:lncRNA from 1 species